rnacentral:rRNA from 1 species
GACGAACGCUGGCGGCGUGCUUAACACAUGCAAGUCGAACGAUGAAGCCUAGCUUGCUGGGUGGAUUAGUGGCGAACGGGUGAGUAACACGUGAGUAACCUGCCCUUGACUCUGGGAUAAGCGCUGGAAACGGCGUCUAAUACCGGAUACGACCUGCCCCGGCAUCGGGUGCGGGUGGAAAGUUUUUCGGUCAAGGAUGGACUCGCGGCCUAUCAGGUAGUUGGUGAGGUAAUGGCUCACCAAGCCGACGACGGGUAGCCGGCCUGAGAGGGUGACCGGCCACACUGGGACUGAGACACGGCCCAGACUCCUACGGGAGGCAGCAGUGGGGAAUAUUGCACAAUGGGCGAAAGCCUGAUGCAGCAACGCCGCGUGGGGGAUGACGGCCUUCGGGUUGUAAACCUCUUUUAGUAGGGAAGAAGGGCUUCGGCUUGACGGUACCUGCAGAAAAAGCACCGGCUAGCUACGUGCCAGCAGCCGCGGUAAUACGUAGGGUGCAAGCGUUGUCCGGAAUUAUUGGGCGUAAAGAGCUCGUAGGCGGUUUGUCGCGUCUGCUGUGAAAACCCGAGGCUCAACCUCGGGCCUGCAGUGGGUACGGGCAGACUAGAGUGCGGUAGGGGAGAAUGGAAUUCCUGGUGUAGCGGUGGAAUGCGCAGAUAUCAGGAGGAACACCGAUGGCGAAGGCAGUUCUCUGGGCCGUUACUGACGCUGAGGAGCGAAAGCGUGGGGAGCGAACAGGAUUAGAUACCCUGGUAGUCCACGCCGUAAACGUUGGGAACUAGAUGUGGGGACCUUUCCACGGUCUCCGUGUCGCAGCUAACGCAUUAAGUUCCCCGCCUGGGGAGUACGGCCGCAAGGCUAAAACUCAAAGGAAUUGACGGGGGCCCGCACAAGCGGCGGAGCAUGCGGAUUAAUUCGAUGCAACGCGAAGAACCUUACCAAGGCUUGACAUAUACCGGAAACUUCCAGAAAUGGUUGCCCCGCAAGGUCGGUAUACAGGUGGUGCAUGGUUGUCGUCAGCUCGUGUCGUGAGAUGUUGGGUUAAGUCCCGCAACGAGCGCAACCCUCGUUCUAUGUUGCCAGCACGUCAUGGUGGGAACUCAUAGGAGACUGCCGGGGUCAACUCGGAGGAAGGUGGGGAUGACGUCAAAUCAUCAUGCCCCUUAUGUCUUGGGCUUCACGCAUGCUACAAUGGCCGGUACAAAGGGCUGCGAUACCGUAAGGUGGAGCGAAUCCCAAAAAGCCGGUCUCAGUUCGGAUUGAGGUCUGCAACUCGACCUCAUGAAGUCGGAGUCGCUAGUAAUCGCAGAUCAGCAACGCUGCGGUGAAUACGUUCCCGGGCCU